GAUAUGGACCCGAAAAUUUACGGGUAUUUUAUGGAUAUUUUAAUUAUAGACCCGAACCGACCCGGACCCGAGAAAAACCGACCCGAACCCGAACUGAAAAUUUCUAAGUAUCUAUUGGGUCUAAAUAUUUAGGACCCGAAAAGACUCGGACCCAAAAAGAAUCGGUCCGAACCCGACCCGAAAGGAAUCGGUCCGAACCCGACCCGAAUACCCGAACGCCCAUGCCUAAACGUUGUAACUGAUAUGGACUAUAUGCAUCACAACGAUUUUAACUUGUACACUAUCUUGCAAAUUAAUUAAAGAAAAUCCUUGAAUGCAUCAAACAAGUCUGAACCAGAAUAUCCACACCCGACUAUUCAAUUCUCAACCCGGCAUCCUCAGUUGGAUGGGGUUAAUGAAUGAACACCUUUCCCCACCACAUGAAAAUUAAGUUUAUAAUACUUUAUCGUGUCUUCUCUCUAGAGAUUUAUCUCUAGAGAUUUAUUAGUCUUUUCCUUUCUGGCCAUUGACGGCUAUCUCUCUCGUACAUUACCUUUUCUUC
rnacentral:lncRNA from 1 species